rnacentral:rRNA from 1 species
GACGAACGCUGGCGGCGUGCUUAACACAUGCAAGUCGAACGGUGAACCCGGAGCUUGCUCCGGUGGAUUAGUGGCGAACGGGUGAGUAACACGUGAGUAACCUGCCCUUGACUCUGGGAUAACUGCGGGAAACUGUAGCUAAUACCGGCUACGACACUCGGCGGCAUCGCCAGGCGGUGGAAAGAAUUUCGGUCAAGGAUGGACUCGCGGCCUAUCAGCUAGUUGGUGAGGUAACGGCUCACCAAGGCGACGACGGGUAGCCGGCCUCGAGAGGGUGACCGGCCACACUGGGACUGAGAUACGGCCCAGACUCCUACGGGAGGCAGCAGUGGGGAAUAUUGCACAAUGGGCGCAAGCUUGAUGCAGCAACGCCGCGUGAGGGAUGACGGCCUUCGGGUUGUAAACCUCUUUUAGUAGGGAAGAAGCGAAAGUGACGGUACCUGCAGAAAAAGCACCGGCUAACUACGUGCCAGCCGCCGCAGUAA